rnacentral:rRNA from 1 species
GAUGAACGCUAGCGGCAGGCUUAACACAUGCAAGUCGAGGGGCAGCAUAAACAUUGCUUGCAAUGUUUGAUGGCGACCGGCGCACGGGUGCGUAACGCGUAUGUAACCUACCUCAAACAGGGGCAUAACACUGAGAAAUUGGUACUAAUUCCCCCAUAACACUCUGGGAGGCAUCUCCUGGGGGUUUGAAAAGUUUCCGGCGGUUUGAGAUGGACAUGCGUUGUAUUAGCUAGUUGGUGAGGUAACGGCUCACCAAGGCGACGAUACAUAGGGGGACUGAGAGGUUAACCCCCCACAUUGGUACUGAGACACGGACCAAACUCCUACGGGAGGCAGCAGUGAGGAAUAUUGGACAAUGGAUGGAAAUCUGAU